AUUGAACGCUGGCGGCAGGCCUAACACAUGCAAGUCGAGCGGAGCGGCGGACGGGUGAGUAAUGCCUAGGAAUCUGACUGGUCGUGGGGGCUAACAUCCGGACAAGGGCCCUAAUCUCGCAUACUAUCAGAUGAGCCUAGGUCGGAUUAGCUAGUGGGGGGGGUAAAGGCCGACCAAGGCGACGAUCCGUACCUGGUCUGCGAGGAUGAUCAGUCACACUGGAACUGAGACACGGUCCAGACUCCUACGGGAGGCAGCAGUGGGGAAUAUUGGACAAUGGGCGAAAGCCUGAUCCAGCCAUGCCGCGUGUGUGAAGAAGGUCUUCGGAUUGUAAAGCACUUUAAGUUGGGAGGCGUUACCAACAGAAUAAGCACCGGCUAACUUCGUGCCAGCAGCCGCGGUAAUAC
rnacentral:rRNA from 1 species